AGCGAACGCUGGCGGCGUGCCUAACACAUGCAAGUCGAAUGCGCAGCUCCGGUGUAGCAAUACAUCGGGGUGGGCGCGUGGCGAACGGGUGCGUAACACGUGGGUAACCUGCCCAAGAGUGGGGGAUAACUCCGGGAAACUGAAGCUAAUACCGCAUACGUCCUUCUGACAUUGGUCCGGGAGGGAAAGCCGCAAGGCGCUCAUGGAGGGACCGCGUCCAUCAGCAGUUGGUGAGGUAACGGCUCACCAAGGCGAAGACGGGUAGCCGGUCUGAGAGGACGAUCGGCCACACUGGGACUGAGACACGGCCCAGAC
rnacentral:rRNA from 1 species